GGUUACAAAUCCAAAACCUCUGUGGCCAGUUCUCUUUGGGUCCUUGGGAACAUAAACAUCUAAUAUACGACCAAAUCUACCAAAAUACUGGUGAAGAUCUUCAGAAGUUGCUUCCUGAGGAAGCCUGCCAACAAAAAUCUUUUUGCCCAUUCCUCUAGUAGGUUCCCUUCCAUACAUUGGACCUGGAUGGUCAUAUAAGGUUGGAGCACCAAGUGCUGCAUAUCUAGUAGCUGCAGAAAUAUAAGCAUUGUAAGCACCAUAUCCACCAUGUGCCAUUCUUCCAACUGGCCUGAAAUCAUCUUCCUUGGGUGUUGCUCGAUCAACAACUACAUUAGAACCUCCCAGUUCAUGAUUAUCAGCCAUCAAACUGUCCACAGUAUCUGCACUGGCAAAUGUGAUAAAUCCAAUCCCACGAUGUGCUUUAGAGCUAUGAUCCUUUGGCAUGUACAGAUC
rnacentral:misc_RNA from 1 species